rnacentral:rRNA from 1 species
UACGUAGGGUGCGAGCGUUGUCCGGAAUUAUUGGGCGUAAAGAGCUUGUAGGCGGUUUGUCGCGUCUGCUGUGAAAAUCCGGGGCUCAACCCCGGACUUGCAGUGGGUACGGGCAGACUAGAGUGUGGUAGGGGAGACUGGAAUCCCUGGUGUAGCGGUGAAAUGCGCAGAUAUCAGGAGGAACACCGGUGGCGAAGGCGGGUCUCUGGGCCGAUACUGACGCUGAGGAGCGAAAGCGUGGGGAGCGAACAGG